GGUGCCUUAGCUCAGGUGGUAGAGCAAUGGACUGAAAAUCCAUGUGUCCUUGGUUCAACUCCAAGAGGUACCACAA
rnacentral:tRNA from 1 species